rnacentral:rRNA from 1 species
CAGCCGCCGCGGUAAUACCGGCGGCCCGAGUGGCGGUCACUAUUAUUGGGCUUAAAGCGUCCGUAGCCGGGUUGGGAAGUCCUCCGGGAAAUCUGGCCGCUUAACGGUCAGAAUGCCGGAGGAUACUCCCAGCCUAGGGAGCGGGGGAGGCCGAGGGGAUUCCCGGAGGAGGGGGGAAAUCCUAUAAUCCCGGGAGGACCACCUGUGGCGAAGGCGCUCGGCUGGACCGCGUCCGACGGUGAGGGACGAAGGCCAGGGGAGCAAACCGGAUUAGAUACCCGGGUAGUCCUGGCUGUAAACGAUGCGGACUUUGUGUCGGACAAGCUAUGAGCUUGUCCGGUGCCGGAGGGAAACCGUUAAGUCCGCCGCCUGGGGAGUACGGCCGCAAGGCUGAAACUUAAAGGAAUUGGCGGG